GACAGAGGUCCCGAGCGUUAGGCGGAAUCACUGGGCUUAAAGCGUGUGUAGGCGGCGGCCUAAGUACCUUGUGAAAUCCCACGGCUCACCCGUGGAACUGCUCGGUAUACUGGGUCGCUUGAGCCACUUAGGGGCUACCGGAACAAAUGGUGGAGCGGUGAAAUGCGUAGAUACCAUUUGGAACGCCAAUGGUGAAAACAGGUAGCUGGGAGUGUGCUGACGCUGAGACACGAAAGCCAGGGGAGCAAACGGG
rnacentral:rRNA from 1 species